AUGUUUGCUGCAGUCCUCUGUGACAUAGGCGAUGUGGUCCCUGCUAAGAGGGCAGAGGAUGUGAAAGCAACUCGAUCUCAGUAACUUCACUGAUAUGUCUGAUGGUGCUAAACCAUAGUGGGUUUAUAUGUCAAGGGUUCAUGGUUAAGAGGACUUGAUGCACACAUAAAAUAAAAUAUUCAAGGCAAUGACAUUUCUACGGAUAUGUGCACAUGGCCUGGUUUAGGACCAGAAAUCGGAAUGCGAGGCCAGAGAGGACAUUUCAAGGUCAAGGAUAUGAAAGCAGCCAGGACAGCAGACAGCCACCUUCUCCAGCCUUUCCUUCAUAUGUGUUUACAUCGGGAAGAGAGAGCAAGCCAGCCUAUGAGAGUGUCAGCAUGCAGGUAAGCUCUGCUCUUUUUAAUUUUCCCAGCGUUAUUGAGAUAUAAUUGACAUAUAAUAUUGUGUGGAUUUAAGGUAUACAAUAUGAGGAUUUGAUCCACUUAUAUACUGCAAAAUGAUUAUCACUAAUGGGUUAGGUAACACCUCCAUCAUCUCACAUAAUUACCUUAUUUUUUUUUGUAGUGAGAAUAUUUAAAAUCUACUCUCUUAGUAAUUUUCAAGAGUAUAAUACAGUAUUGUUAAACUACAUUCAUCAUCGUAUACAUUAGAUCCCCAGAGUUUAUUCAUUUUCUUUCUUUCUUUUCUUUCUUUUUCUUUUUUUUUUUUUUUUUUUUUUUUUUUUUUUUUUUNNNNNNNNNNUUUUUUUUUUUUUGUCUUUUUAGGGCCGCACCCACGGCAUAUGGAAGUUCCCAUGCUAGGGGUCCAAUCCAAGCUAUAGCCACCGGCCUACACCACAGUCACAGCAAAGCCAGAUCCGAGUCGUGUCUGCAACACACACCACAGCUCACAGAAACACUGGAUCCUUAACCCACUGAGCAAGGCCAGGGAUCAAACCCACAUCCUCACGGAUGCCAGUUGGGUUUGUUAACAGUGAGCCACCAUGGGAACUCUCCGAGGUUAUUCAUUUUCUAAUGAGAAGUUUGCUCCCUUUGACUGACAUCACCUCUUUUCCCCAUCCCCUCAGUCCCUGGCAACCACUAUUCUAUUCUCUGUUUAGGUGAGUUCAGCUUUUUUAGAUCCUGGGUAUAAAUGAGAUCAUACAGUGUUUGUCUUUCUCUGCAUGGCUUAUUUUACUUAGCUUAAUGCUUUCAGGUUGCAUCCAUGAUGUUGAAAAUGGCAUGAUUUCCUUCUCUCUCACAGCUGAAUAAUAUUUCAUUGUAUAUCUAAUAUACAUAAAUGAAAUAUAUAAUAUUUCAUAUAUCAUACUAUGUAUAAAUGAAAUAUUAUAUAUAAUAAAAUGUAUAUCCCAUCUUCUUUGUCCA
rnacentral:lncRNA from 1 species